AUUUCGAUGGGCACAAGCUAUGUGUUUACAUUUGUAUUUUUGUCGAGAGCAAAAGGUUUUUCUUUUCAAUCAAAAAUAAUUGUUUUGAAAGCAAAAACGGGGCUUCAAAGUUUUUUUUUAAAUGUACAAAUGUGCAAUCGAAUAUUUUCUAAUAGAGCGCAAAACGUCAUUUCCCAAAAAUAUUUGAGGAACAAAAAAUGUAUUUGAAAACUAAACUCCAAUUUAAUUUCGCAAUCAACCAACCUCCAUUUUGGCUAGACUGCUCUCUUUGCUUGCAGUUUCUCUUUAUUUUUGCUUUUGAAACCUUUGCACUUUUGACCCCACAGCUGUGGGCGGGCUUUAGUGGGAGGUGUGGAGGAUGCUUCUCCAUUGGUCAGAGUGGCAGGUGAAAUAUUUGCAGUGAAUCUUGCACAAGGUGGACCGUCUCCAUGAUUUAUGCAGGACUGGUUUUUACCACUAUUUGUUGACUGGGACCCUGAAGGACCUAACAAAGGGUAGUGUACAUGACACAGAGUUGUCCCCAUUAAUCAAAACGAUCAAAGAUGCCUUUGACCUGGCACCCAACACUGAAGGAAUCCUCAACUGUGGCUACACAGGCCCCAUCACCUUGGAUCACAAGGAGAGCAUAAUAAGAGACAUUUUGCUACAUGCAACCACAAAACGUACGGCGAUGCUUCAGCAGCUGCAUGAAGGCCUUGAAGUCUACAUCCUAAUUGAGGUCCUGCAGAAGAAACCGAAGCCAAUGUCACACAUUGGCCCCAUUAUCUAUAGAAAGACCCUUCUACAAAGUAUUAAGAUAGUUCUAUAUUUAAUUUAAUACAUUUUGCAAAAAUGAGAAAAAACAUGUUUUCACUUUCUCUUUAUGGGGUUUUGUGUAUAGAUGGGUGAUGGGGAAGAAAAUAUUUAAUCCAUUUCAAAUUCAGGCUUAAAAUUCAAGAGUUGUGAAUACUUUCUGAAAGCACAGUAUGCUCUGUCAAAUAAUAAACAUGGCUUUUGUUCAAAUCAAAUUUUAUUGAUCACAUACAUACACAUGGUCAGCAGAUGUUUAUGCAAGUGUAGCGAAAUGCUUGUGCUUCUAGUUCCGACCAUGCAGUAAUAUCUAACAAUGGACUAACUAGUGUGCAGACUCAUCAAAACA